AGGAUGAACGCUGGCGGUCUGCUUAACACAUGCAAGUCGAACGGAGUAGCAAUACUUAGUGGCGGACGGGUGAGUAACGCGUGAGAAUCUACCUUCAGGACGGAGACAACAGUUGGAAACGACUGCUAACCCCCGAUGUACCGAAAGGGCAAAUAUUUAUAGCCUGAAGAAGAGCUCGCGUCCGAUUAGCUAGUUGGAGAGGUAAAAGCUCACCAAGGCGACGAUCGGUAGCUGGUCUGAGAGGACGAUCAGCCACACUGGGACUGAGACACGGCCCAGACUCCUACGGGAGGCAGCAGUGGGGAAUUUCCGCAAUGGGCGAAAGCCUGACGGAGCAAGACCGCGUGGGGGAAGAAGGCUCUUGGGUUGUAAACCCCUUUUCUCUGGGACGAGCAAGGACGGUACCCCAGGAAUCAGCCCCGGCUAACUACGCGCCAGCAGCCGC
rnacentral:rRNA from 1 species